AAACCAUAUGAUGAUUUUGGAUUUAAUUCUCACGACGGUCGUCUGAUCUCACGCCUGUUUGUCGGGCCGUGAUAAACUGAUGUAUUGAUCCAUAUUUUUCUGAUGGUU
rfam:Helianthus annuus linkage group 14, whole genome shotgun sequence.